rnacentral:rRNA from 1 species
GGAGCUUGCUCCUGGAUUCAGCGGCGGACGGGUGAGUAAUGCCUAGGAAUCUGCCUGGUAGUGGGGGAUAACGUCCGGAAACGGGCGCUAAUACCGCAUACGUCCUGAGGGAGAAAGUGGGGGAUCUUCGGACCUCACGCUAUCAGAUGAGCCUAGGUCGGAUUAGCUAGUUGGUGGGGUAAAGGCCUACCAAGGCGACGAUCCGUAACUGGUCUGAGAGGAUGAUCAGUCACACUGGAACUGAGACACGGUCCAGACUCCUACGGGAGGCAGCAGUGGGGAAUAUUGGACAAUGGGCGAAAGCCUGAUCCAGCCAUGCCGCGUGUGUGAAGAAGGUCUUCGGAUUGUAAAGCACUUUAAGUUGGGAGGAAGGGCAGUAAGUUA